GCAUAUCAAUAAGCGGAGGAAAAGAAACCAACCGGGAUUGCCUCAGUAACGGCGAGUGAAGCGGCAAGAGCUCAAAUUUGAAAGCUGGCCCCUCCGGGGUCCGCGUUGUAAUUUGCAGAGGAUGCUUCGGGCUCAGCCCCCGUCUAAGUGCCCUGGAACGGGCCGUCGGAGAGGGUGAGAAUCCCGUCUGGGACGGGGUGCCUGGGUCCAUGUGAAGCUCCUUCGACGAGUCGAGUUGUUUGGGAAUGCAGCUCUAAAUGGGUGGUAAAUUUCAUCUAAAGCUAAAUACUGGCCGGAGACCGAUAGCGCACAAGUAGAGUGAUCGAAAGAUGAAAAGCACUUUGAAAAGAGAGUUAAACAGCACGUGAAAUUGUUGAAAGGGAAGCGCUUGCGAUCAGACUCGCCUGCGGGGUUCAGCCGGCAUUCGUGCCGGUGUACUUCCCCGUGGGCGGGCCAGCGUCGGUUCGGGUGGCCGGUCAAAGGCCCCGGGAAUGUGUCGCCCUCCGGGGCGUCUUAUAGCCCGGGGUGCCAUGCGGCCUACCUGGACCGAGGAACGCGCUUCGGCUCGGACGCUGGCGUAAUGGUCGUAAGCGACCCGUCUUGAAACACGGACCAAGGAGUCUAACAUCUACGCGAGUGUUUGGGUGGCAAACCCAUACGCGCAGUGAAAGCGAACGGAGGUGGGAACCCUUCGGGGCGCACCAUCGACCGAUCCUGAUGUCUUCGGAUGGAUUUGAGUAAGAGCGUAGCUGUGGGGACCCGAAAGAUGGUGAACUAUGCCUGAAUAGGGCGAAGCCAGAGGAAACUCUGGUGGAGGCUCGCAGCGGUUCUGACGUGCAAAUCGAUCGUCAAAUUUGGGUAUAGGGGCGAAAGACUAAUCGAACCAUCUGGUAGCUGGUUCCUGCCGA
rnacentral:rRNA from 1 species